rnacentral:lncRNA from 1 species
UGACAAUGGCCUGUGAAGCAAAGCAUACUUUUUGAUGUCUCUGGUUUCUUGUUAACUUCAUUAGAUCUGAUUGUUGGAAUAGACAAGCAUCAUUCUGCUCCAAAGCUAGUUCUGUAUUUCACGUGUUUGCCUUCGCAUCUUCUGUGCUCCAAGACACCAGAUGCCAAAGAAGUCUAGAUCUCAUGCUGUUUGUUGGGAAGCUUUGACCUUUACCGUGCCAUAGAAGUGCCUUCUCAGUGUCAAGAACUUUCACAUGGAAGAGGUGAGACCUAUUCACAGUUCAGACAUACACUUACAAAAGAGAGUGCCAUAUAUUUCAUCACUGAAUGGAAAGUUGCUGCAAGAACUCAGAGGAAAAUGCAUGUGGGUUUAGUGUCCGUUUCCAGAAGUGAAGGAAGCACUACGGGUAUCCUGCUGGUUUCUGUAUCUUAUACCCCAGAAGUGCAUGGUUCUAAGAUGUGAGGCAAUUUCAAAAGCCUGUCUUGGGAUGGUGGAGUAGCUGCAGGAGUUGUGCUGAUUGCAGCCAAUCCCCAGCACGUUGGAGUGAUUUGUGUCUCAUUGGAAUUGCCAAGGUGAUUACGUGCCUUUUUCAAACAUUCUUGCAGUUUUUUAGGAUUCUUGUUCAGAAGUGAAGUUCCAGAGAAUUGGAGGUGCCCACUGUUGAGAUAAAGACAGUUUAAUAGGACAGAAAAGGAAGGGAAAUAAUAAUAAUGAAUGUUAAUGGAAUGUACAAAGCAAGUGAUGCAUAAUGCAAU